UUAAAUUGAAGAGUUUGAUCAUGGCUCAGAUUGAACGCUGGCGGCAGGCCUAACACAUGCAAGUCGAACGGUAACAGGAAGCAGCUUGCUGCUUUGCUGACGAGUGGCGGACGGGUGAGUAAUGUCUGGGAAACUGCCUGAUGGAGGGGGAUAACUACUGGAAACGGUAGCUAAUACCGCAUAACGUCGCAAGACCAAAGAGGGGGACCUUCGGGCCUCUUGCCAUCGGAUGUGCCCAGAUGGGAUUAGCUAGUAGGUGGGGUAACGGCUCACCUAGGCGACGAUCCCUAGCUGGUCUGAGAGGAUGACCAGCCACACUGGAACUGAGACACGGUCCAGACUCCUACGGGAGGCAGCAGUGGGGAAUAUUGCACAAUGGGCGCAAGCCUGAUGCAGCCAUGCCGCGUGUAUGAAGAAGGCCUUCGGGUUGUAAAGUACUUUCAGCGGGGAGGAAGGCGAUAAGGUUAAUAACCUUGUCGAUUGACGUUACCCGCAGAAGAAGCACCGGCUAACUCCGUGCCAGCAGCCGCGGUAAUACGGAGGGUGCAAGCGUUAAUCGGAAUUACUGGGCGUAAAGCGCACGCAGGCGGUCUGUCAAGUCGGAUGUGAAAUCCCCGGGCUCAACCUGGGAACUGCAUUCGAAACUGGCAGGCUAGAGUCUUGUAGAGGGGGGUAGAAUUCCAGGUGUAGCGGUGAAAUGCGUAGAGAUCUGGAGGAAUACCGGUGGCGAAGGCGGCCCCCUGGACAAAGACUGACGCUCAGGUGCGAAAGCGUGGGGAGCAAACAGGAUUAGAUACCCUGGUAGUCCACGCCGUAAACGAUGUCGACUUGGAGGUUGUGCCCUUGAGGUGUGGCUUCCGGAGCUAACGCGUUAAGUCGACCGCCUGGGGAGUACGGCCGCAAGGUUAAAACUCAAAUGAAUUGACGGGGGCCCGCACAAGCGGUGGAGCAUGUGGUUUAAUUCGAUGCAACGCGAAGAACCUUACCUACUCUUGACAUCCAGAGAACUUUCCAGAGAUGGAUUGGUGCCUUCGGGAACUCUGAGACAGGUGCUGCAUGGCUGUCGUCAGCUCGUGUUGUGAAAUGUUGGGUUAAGUCCCGCAACGAGCGCAACCCUUAUCCUUUGUUGCCAGCGGUUAGGCCGGGAACUCAAAGGAGACUGCCAGUGAUAAACUGGAGGAAGGUGGGGAUGACGUCAAGUCAUCAUGGCCCUUACGAGUAGGGCUACACACGUGCUACAAUGGCGCAUACAAAGAGAAGCGACCUCGCGAGAGCAAGCGGACCUCAUAAAGUGCGUCGUAGUCCGGAUUGGAGUCUGCAACUCGACUCCAUGAAGUCGGAAUCGCUAGUAAUCGUGGAUCAGAAUGCCACGGUGAAUACGUUCCCGGGCCUUGUACACACCGCCCGUCACACCAUGGGAGUGGGUUGCAAAAGAAGUAGGUAGCUUAACCUUCGGGAGGGCGCUUACCACUUUGUGAUUCAUGACUGGGGUGAAGUCGUAACAAGGUAACCGUAGGGGAACCUGCGGUUGGAUCACCUCCUUACCUUAAAGAA
rnacentral:rRNA from 2 species